rnacentral:rRNA from 1 species
GACGAACGCUGGCGGCGUGCCUAAUACAUGCAAGUCGAGCGGACUUUCAAGAAGCUUGCUUUUUGAAAGUUAGCGGCGGACGGGUGAGUAACACGUGGGCAACCUGCCUGUAAGACGGGGAUAACUCCGGGAAACCGGGGCUAAUACCGGAUAAUAUCUUUCUUCGCAUGAAGGAAGGUUGAAAGGCGGCGCAAGCUGCCGCUUGCAGAUGGGCCCGCGGCGCAUUAGCUAGUUGGUGAGGUAACGGCUCACCAAGGCGACGAUGCGUAGCCGACCUGAGAGGGUGAUCGGCCACCCUGGGACUGAGACACGGCCCAGACUCCUACGGGAGGCAGCAGUAGGGAAUCUUCCGCAAUGGACGAAAGUCUGACGGAGCAACGCCGCGUGAGUGAUGAAGGUCUUCGGAUUGUAAAGCUCAGUUAAUCGGGACGAAAGAGUUCUGCGUGAAUAAUGCAGAAAAGUGACGGUACCGGAAUAGAAAGCCACGGCUAACUACGUGCCAGCCGCCGCAGUAA